GUGUCAGCCGCCGCGGUAAAACCAGCACCUCAAGUGGUCAGGAGGAUUAUUGGGCCUAAAGCAUCCGUAGCCUGUUCUAUAAGUUUCCGGUUAAAUCCAUUAGCUCAACUAAUGGGCUGCCGAAAAUACUGUAGAACUAGGGAGUGGGAGAGGUAGACGGUAUUCGGUAGGAAGGGGUAAAAUCCUUUGAUCUAUUGAGGACCACCUGUGGCGAAGGCGGUCUACCAGAACACGUUCGACGGUGAGGGAUGAAAGCUGGGGGAGCAAACCGGAUUAGAUACCCGGGUAGUCCCAGCUGUAAACGAUGCAGACUCGGUGAUGCCCUGGCUUGUGGCCAGUGCAGUGCCGCAGGGAAGCCGUUAAGUUUGCCGCCUGGGAAGUACGUACGCAAGUAUGAAACUUAAAGGAAUUGGCGGGGGAGCACCACAAGGGGUGAAGCCUGCGGUUCAAUUGGAGUCAACGCCAGAAAUCUUACCCGGAGAGACAGCAGAAUGAAGGUCAAGCUGAAGACUUUACCAGACAAGCUGAGAGGUGGUGCAUGGCCGUCGCCAGCUCGUGCCGUGAGAUGUCCUGUUAAGUCAGGUAACGAGCGAGAUCCCUGCCUCUAGUUGCCACCAUUACUCUCAGGAGUAGUGGGGCGAAUUAGCGGGACCGCCACAGUUAAUGUGGAGGAAGGAAGGGGCCACGGCAGGUCAGUAUGCCCCGAAACUCUGGGGCCACACGCGGGCUGCAAUGGUAGUGACAAUGAGUUCCGAAACCGAAAGGUGGAGGUAAUCUUCAAACGCUACCACAGUUAUGAUUGAGGGCUGCAACUCGCCCUCAUGAAUAUGGAAUCCCUAGUAACUGCGUGUCAUUAUCGCGCGGUGAAUACGUCCCUGCUCCUUGCACACACCGCCCGUC
rnacentral:rRNA from 1 species